AACACCCCAACAGCUAGCUCAAUCAUCAAAAUUUAACAAACAACAUCAACUAAAUCCUAAUACCCUAAAAUCAUAAAGUAAACCAUUUUUCCGCCCAAGUACGGGAGACAGAAAAG
rnacentral:rRNA from 1 species